GAUGAACGCUGGCGGCGUGCCUAAUACAUGCAAGUCGAGCGAACAGACGAGGAGCUUGCUCCUCUGACGUUAGCGGCGGACGGGUGAGUAACACGUGGAUAACCUACCUAUAAGACUGGGAUAACUUCGGGAAACCGGAGCUAAUACCGGAUAAUAUAUUGAACCGCAUGGUUCAAUAGUGAAAGACGGUUUUGCUGUCACUUAUAGAUGGAUCCGCGCCGCAUUAGCUAGUUUGUAAGGUAACGGCUUACCAAGGCAACGAUGCGUAGCCGACCUGAGAGGGUGAUCGGCCACACUGGAACUGAAACACGGUCCAGACUCCUACGGGAGGCAGCAGUAGGGAAUCUUCCGCAAUGGGCGAAAGCCUGACGGAGCAACGCCGCGUGAGUGAUGAAGGUCUUCGGAUCGUAAAACUCUGUUAUUAGGGAAGAACAAAUGUGUAAGUAACUAUGCACGUCUUGACGGUACCUAAUCAGAAAGCCACGGCUAACUACGUG
rnacentral:rRNA from 1 species